UACGAAGGGGGCUAGCGUUGCUCGGAAUCACUGGGCGUAAAGCGCACGUAGGCGGGUCGUUAAGUCAGGGGUGAAAUCCCGGAGCUCAACUCCGGAACUGCCUUUGAUACUGGCGAUCUUGAGAUCGGAAGAGGUGAGUGGAAUUCCCAGUGUAGAGGUGAAAUUCGUAGAUAUUGGGAAGAACACCAGUGGCGAAGGCGGCUCACUGGUCCGAUACUGACGCUGAGGUGCGAAAGCGUGGGGAGCAAACAGG
rnacentral:rRNA from 1 species